GAUGAACGCUGGCGGCGUGCUUAACACAUGCAAGUCGAACGAUGAAGCCCAGCUUGCUGGGUGGAUUAGUGGCGAACGGGUGAGUAACACGUGAGUAACCUGCCCUUGACUCUGGGAUAAGCCCGGGAAACUGGGUCUAAUACCGGAUAGGAGCGCCUGUCGCAUGACGGGUGUGGAAAGAUUUUUCGGUCAUGGAUGGACUCGCGGCCUAUCAGCUUGUUGGUGAGGUAAUGGCUCACCAAGGCGACGACGGGUAGCCGGCCUGAGAGGGUGACCGGCCACACUGGGACUGAGACACGGCCCAGACUCCUACGGGAGGCAGCAGUGGGGAAUAUUGCACAAUGGGCGGAAGCCUGAUGCAGCGACGCCGCGUGAGGGAUGACGGCCUUCGGGUUGUAAACCUCUUUCAGUAGGGAAGA
rnacentral:rRNA from 1 species